rnacentral:rRNA from 1 species
AGUGAACGCUGGCGGUAGGCCUAACAAAUGCAAGUCGAACGGCAGCACAGUAAGAGCUUGCUCUUACGGGUGUCGAGUGGCGGACGGGUGAGGAAUACAUCGGAAUCUACUUUUUCGUGGGGGAUAACUUAGGGAAACUUACGCUAAUACCGCAUACGACCUACGGGUGAAAGCAGGGGAUCUUCGGACCUUGCGCGAUUGAAUGAGCCGAUGUCGGAUUAGCUAGUUGGCGGGGUAAAGGCCCACCAAGGCGACGAUCCGUAGCUGGUCUGAGAGGAUGAUCAGCCAAACUGGAACUGAGAAACGGUCCAGACGCCUACGGGAGGCAGCAGUGGGGAAUAUUGGACAAUGGGCGCAAGAAGGAGCCAGUCAUACCGCGUAGGUGAAGAAGGACUUCGAGUUGUAAAGCACUUUUGUUGGGAAAGAAAAGCAGCAGGUUAAUACCCAGCUGUUCUGACGGUACCCAAAGAAUAAGAACAGGCUAACUUAGUG